rnacentral:tRNA from 1 species
CUUGGGUGGAGCAUAUUGUCCCGCAAUGUGGCUAUUGCCAAUCGGGUCAGAUUAUGAAU